CUGUUUCAAUUUGUUGCGGACAAAUGAAAUGUAUGUGUGUAUCGAUUCCACCUGCGGUUACAAUAUAUCCUUUUCCUCCAUGUACUUCUGUAGAAGCUCCGAUAAUCAUAUUGGGUGAAACGCCAUCCAUUGUGUCAGGAUUUCCUGCUUUUCCUAUACCUAUGAUUUUUCCGUCUUUGAUUCCGAUAUCUGCUUUUACAAUUCCCCAGUGAUCAAUGAUAAUGGCACCUGUAAUGCAAAGAUCUAAAACUCCUUCAUCUCUUUUUGAAGUAACGUUUUGACCCAUGCCAUCACGAACAG
rnacentral:sRNA from 1 species